rnacentral:rRNA from 1 species
AUUGAACGCUGGCGGCAUGCCUUACACAUGCAAGUCGAACGGUAGCAGGUCUUCGGAUGCUGACGAGUGGCGAACGGGUGAGUAAUGCAUCGGAACGUGCCCAGUAGUGGGGGAUAGCCCGGCGAAAGCCGGAUUAAUACCGCAUACGACCUGAGGGUGAAAGGGGGGGAUCGCAAGACCUCUCGCUAUUGGAGCGGCCGAUGUCAGAUUAGCUAGUUGGUGGGGUAAAGGCCUACCAAGGCAACGAUCUGUAGUUGGUCUGAGAGGACGACCAGCCACACUGGGACUGAGACACGGACCAGACUCCUACGGGAGGCAGCAGUGGGGAAUUUUGGACAAUGGGCGCAAGGCUGAUCCAGCAAUGCCGCGUGCAGGAAGAAGGCCUUCGGGUUGUAAACUGCUUUUGUCAGGGAAGAAAUCUUCUGGGUUAAUACCUCGGGAGGAUGACGGUACCUGAAGAAUAAGCACCGGCUAACUACGUGCCAGCCGCCGCCGUAAAAC